GUGCGUGUCCGGGCGCCACGCGCUCGUUGCAAACGGCGAGCAACCCCUCGGCCCUGUAGGCACAGCGCACCCGACCCCGUCUGCGCCCUGCCGUGGUGCAGCGCAGUGAUUCGGCCGCCAGUGCUGCGCGGAGUGUCGAAUGCAGCGUGCCGAUUGCCGCGCUGCACCACUCGCAUGCGCGGCCAACUGAACGGCGCCAGUCGCGCGUGAUCAAGUCGCCGCGCUCGAGGCCGAUAUGGGCACAUGCAU
rnacentral:sRNA from 1 species